GAUGAAGAACGUAGCGAAAUGCGAUAAGUAAUGUGAAUUGCAGAAUUCAGUGAAUCAUCGAAUCUUUGAACGCACAUUGCGCCCAUUAGUAUUCUAGUGGGCAUGCCUGUUCGAGCGUCAUUAAGUCCACUUAAGCCCUGCUUAGUGUUGGGAGACUGCUCCAGCGGUGCUACCCUGUAGCUACCCUGCAGCUCCUCAAAGACAGCGGCGGAGUUGUGGUAUCCUCUGAGCUUAGUAACUUGUUCUAGCUUUCGAGUACACCACUUCCCCUGCCGUAAAACCCUUAAUUUUUAAUGGUUGACCUCGGAUCAGGUAGGAAUACCCGCUGAACUUAAGCAUAUCAAUAAGCGGA
rnacentral:misc_RNA from 1 species